GGAGAGGUGCCAGAGCGGCCGAAUGGGGCGGUCUCGAAAACCGUUGUGGACCCUGUGUCCACCGUGGGUUCGAAUCCCACCCUCUCCGCCA
rnacentral:tRNA from 1 species